rnacentral:tRNA from 2 species
GCCGAAGUGGUGGAAUUGGUAGACGCAGCGGACUCAAAAUCCGCCGGUGGCAACACCAUGAGGGUUCAAGUCCCUCCUUCGGCA